rnacentral:rRNA from 1 species
AGAGUUUGAUCAUGGCUCAGAUUGAACGCUGGCGGCAGGCUUAACACAUGCAAGUCGAGCGGAGUUGUGGUGCUUGCACCAUAACUUAGCGGCGGACGGGUGAGUAAUGCUUAGGAAUCUGCCUAUUAGUGGGGGACAACAUCUCGAAAGGGAUGCUAAUACCGCAUACGCCCUACGGGGGAAAGCAGGGGAUCUUCGGACCUUGCGCUAAUAGAUGAGCCUAAGUCGGAUUAGCUAGUUGGUGGGGUAAAGGCCUACCAAGGCGACGAUCUGUAGCGGGUCUGAGAGGAUGAUCCGCCACACUGGGACUGAGACACGGCCCAGACUCCUACGGGAGGCAGCAGUGGGGAAUAUUGGACAAUGGGGGGAACCCUGAUCCAGCCAUGCCGCGUGUGUGAAGAAGGCCUUUUGGUUGUAAAGCACUUUAAGCGAGGAGGAGGCUACUCUAGUUAAUACCUAGGGAUAGUGGACGUUACUCGCAGAAUAAGCACCGGCUAACUCUGUGCCAGCAGCCGCGGUAAUACAGAGGGUGCGAGCGUUAAUCGGAUUUACUGGGCGUAAAGCGUGCGUAGGCGGCUUUUUAAGUCGGAUGUGAAAUCCCUGAGCUUAACUUAGGGAUUGCAUUCGAUACUGGGAAGCUAGAGUAUGGGAGAGGAUGGUAGAAUUCCAGUGUAGCGGUGAAAUGCGUAGAGAUCUGGAGGAAUACCGAUGGCGAAAGCAGCCAUCUGGGCCUAAUACUGACACUGAGGUACGAAAGCAUGGGGAGCAAACAGGAUUAGAUACCCUGGGUAGUCCAUGCCG